AGUGUCUGUCGAGGAGCCUGAGAUGUGUUAGGGUGCUUUUACAAGCCAACAUUUAGUCCAUUUUAAUCAAACAUUGUAAUCGUACUCUGGUGUGGACCCAAACAACCGGUCUGAGACUGCGUGAGAGAGGUGGUCUCCAACCAAAAUGCAGGCUGCCUGUAUGAGUGUUUGUUGAGAUGGACACAGGUAGAUGCAGGGUUAACAUGAGUGGGAGACGACUGACUUUUUGCUUGACAUCUGGGCCAAAGAGAACAUACAGAAUAUGCUAAAUAAAGUUCACAAAAAUAGUGAUGUUUAUGAAGUCAUUUGAGAUAAAACUGGAGGAGAAAUGAUUCAGUGCAGAGUCAAAGUGAAAAAACUUUGACAGCAAUAUAGCGCAG